rnacentral:rRNA from 1 species
GAUGAACGCUGACAGAAUGCUUAACACAUGCAAGUCGACUGUGGCGCACGGGUGAGUAACGCGUAAAGAACUUGCCUCCCAGAUAGGGACAACAUUCGGAAACGAAUGCUAAUACCUGAUACUGUGAGAGAGCUUUGCGUCCCAUUAGCUAGUUGGAGAGGUAACGGCUCACCAAGGCGAUGAUGGGUAGUCGGCCUGGGAGGGUGAUCGGCCACAAGGGGACUGAGACACGGCCCUUACUCCUACGGGAGGCAGCAGUGGGGAAUUGUGGACAAUGGACCAAAGUCUGAUCCAGGAAUUCUGUGUGCACGAUGAAGUUUUCGGAAUGUAAAGUGCUUUCAGUUGGUAAGCGGUACCAACAGAAGAAGUGACGGCUAAAUACGUGCCAGCAGCCGCGGUAAUAC